GAUGAACGCUGGCGGCGUGCCUAAUACAUGCAAGUCGAGCGAACAGACGAGGAGCUUGCUCCUCUGACGUUAGCGGCGGACGGGUGAGUAACACGUGGAUAACCUACCUAUAAGACUGGGAUAACUUCGGGAAACCGGAGCUAAUACCGGAUAAUAUAUUGAACCGCAUGGUUCCAUAGUUAAAGACGGUUUUGCUGUCACUUAUAGAUGGAUCCGCACCGCAUUAGCUAGUUGGUAAGGUAACGGCUUACCAAAGCAACGAUGCGUAGCCGACCUGAGAGGGUGAUCGGCCACACUGGAACUGAGACACGGUCCAGACUCCUACGGGAGGCAGCAGUAGGGAAUCUGCCGCAAUGGGCGAAAGCCUGACGGAGCAACGCCGCGUGAGUGAUGAAGGUCUUCGGAUCGUAAAACUCUGUUAUUAGGGAAGAACAAAUGUGUAAGUAACUAUGCACGUCUUGACGGUACCUAAUCAGAAAGCCACGGCUAACUACGUG
rnacentral:rRNA from 1 species